UACGUAGGUGGCAAGCGUUGUCCGGAUUUACUGGGCGUAAAGGGAGCGUAGGCGGUCUGUCAAGUCGGAUGUGAAAUCCCCGGGCUCAACCUGGGAACUGCAUCCGAAACUGGCAGGCUAGAGUCUUGUAGAGGGGGGUAGAAUUCCAGGUGUAGCGGUGAAAUGCGUAGAGAUCUGGAGGAAUACCGGUGGCGAAGGCGGCCCCCUGGACAAAGACUGACGCUCAGGUGCGAAAGCGUGGGGAGCAAACAGGAUUAGAUACCCUGGUAGUCCACGCCGUAAACGAUGUCGACUUGGAGGUUGUGCCCUUGAGGCGUGGCUUCCGGAGCUAACGCGUUAAGUCGACCGCCUGGGGAGUACGGCCGCAAGGUUAAA
rnacentral:rRNA from 1 species